rnacentral:piRNA from 1 species
UCCCCAAAAUUCAAUGGGUUCCUCUUUCCUCC